AUUGAACGCUGGCGGCAUGCCUUACACAUGCAAGUCGAACGGUAACGGGCCUUCGGGUGCCGACGAGUGGCGAACGGGUGAGUAAUGUAUCGGAACGUACCUUUCAGUGGGGGAUAACGUAGCGAAAGUUACGCUAAUACCGCAUAUUCUGUGAGCAGGAAAGCAGGGGAUCGCAAGACCUUGCGCUGAUUGAGCGGCCGAUAUCAGAUUAGCUAGUUGGGGAGGUAAAAGCUCACCAAGGCGACGAUCUGUAGCGGGUCUGAGAGGAUGAUCUGCCACACUGGAACUGAGACACGGUCCAGACUCCUACGGGAGGCAGCAGUGGGGAAUUUUGGACAAUGGGGGCAACCCUGAUCCAGCCAUGCUGCGUGAGUGAAGAAGGCCUUCGGGUUGUAAAGCUCUUUCGGCCGGGAAGAAAUCGUAUCAGCUAAUACCUGGUGCGGAUGACGGUACCGGCAUAAGAAGCACCGGCUAACUACGUGCCAGCAGCCGCCGUAAAAC
rnacentral:rRNA from 1 species